AUAUAUUUGUUCUAGAAAAAAAAAAAAGUACUUACAAGAAGAGAAGAUAAUUAGAUGAGAAGCUGAAAGGAUGAAUAUUUCAUGGCAAGAUAAGAUUUCAGAAUUCGAUAAACUUAUUG
rnacentral:ribozyme from 1 species